rnacentral:tmRNA from 1 species
GGGGGCGUCAGGCUUCGACAGAGCUGGAUCGCGCCGAGGUUGCGAGCCGAGGUGCCGUUGGCCUCGUUAAUAAACGGCAAAAAAGCAACUGCGAACAACAACUUCGCUUACGC